GACGAACGCUGGCGGCGUGCUUAACACAUGCAAGUCGAACGGAAAGGCCCUGCUUUUGUGGGGUGCUCGAGUGGCGAACGGGUGAGUAACACGUGAGUAACCUGCCCCUGACUUUGGGAUAACUUCAGGAAACUGGGGCUAAUACCGGAUAGGAGCUCCUGCUGCAUGGUGGGGGUUGGAAAGUUUCGGCGGUUGGGGAUGGACUCGCGGCUUAUCAGCUUGUUGGUGGGGUAGUGGCUUACCAAGGCUUUGACGGGUAGCCGGCCUGAGAGGGUGACCGGCCAUAUUGGGACUGAGAUACGGCCCAGACUCCUACGGGAGGCAGCAGUGGGGAAUAUUGCACAAUGGGCGGAAGCCUGAUGCAGCAACGCCGCGUGCGGGAUGACGGCCUUCGGGUUGUAAACCGCUUUCGCCUGUGACGAAGCGUGAGUGACGGUAAUGGGUAAAGAAGCACCGGCUAACUACGUG
rnacentral:rRNA from 1 species